ACUUUUAACAACGGAUCUCUUGGCUCUCGCAUCGAUGAAGAACGCAGCGAAAUGCGAUAAGAAUGUGAAUUGAAGAAUUCAGUGAAUCAUCGAUUCUUUGACCGCCCCUUGCGCUCCUUGGUAUUCCGGGAGCAUGCCUGUUUGAGUGUCAUUA
rnacentral:rRNA from 1 species